AGACGUCUACAUUAGACUACCCCUGUAGUCCCAGCCGUAAACUAUGCGCGUUAGGUGUAUCGGUGACCACGAGUCACCGAGGUGCCGAAGGGAAACCGUGAAACGUGCCGCCUGGGAAGUACGGUCGCAAGGCUAGAAACUUAAAGGAAUUGGCGGGGAGCACCACAACAGGUGGAGCCUGCGGUUUAAUUGGACUCAACGCCGGGAAGCUCACCGGAUAGGACAGCAGAAUGAUUGCCGGGCUGAAGACCCUGCAUGACUAGCUG
rnacentral:rRNA from 1 species